GAUGAACGCUGGCGGCGUGCCUAAUACAUGCAAGUCGAGCGAACGGACGAGAAGCUUGCUUCUCUGAUGUUAGCGGCGGACGGGUGAGUAACACGUGGAUAACCUACCUAUAAGACUGGGAUAACUUCGGGAAACCGGAGCUAAUACCGGAUAAUAUUUUGAACCGCAUGGUUCAAAAGUGAAAGACGGUCUUGCUGUCACUUAUAGAUGGAUCCGCGCUGCAUUAGCUAGUUGGUAAGGUAACGGCUUACCAAGGCAACGAUGCAUAGCCGACCUGAGAGGGUGAUCGGCCACACUGGAACUGAGACACGGUCCAGACUCCUACGGGAGGCAGCAGUAGGGAAUCUUCCGCAAUGGGCGAAAGCCUGACGGAGCAACGCCGCGUGAGUGAUGAAGGUCUUCGGAUCGUAAAACUCUGUUAUUAGGGAAGAACAUAUGUGUAAGUAACUGUGCACAUCUUGACGGUACCUAAUCAGAAAGCCACGGCUAACUACGUGCCAACAGCCGCGGUAAUACGUAGGUGGCAAGCGUUAUCCGGAAUUAUUGGGCGUAAAGCGCGCGUGGGCGGUUUUUUAAGUCUGAUGUGAAAGCCCACGGCUCAACCGUGGAGGGUCAUUGGAAACUGGAAAACUUGAGUGCAGAAGAGGAAAGUGGAAGUUCCAUGUGUAGCGGUGAAAUGCGCAGAGAUAUGGAGGAACACCAGUGGCGAAGGCGACUUUCUGGUCUGUAACUGACGCUGAUGUGCGAAAGCGUGGGGAUCAAACAGGAUUAGAUACCCUGGUAGUCCACGCCGUAAACGAUGAGUGCUAAGUGUUAGGGGGUUUCCGCCCCUUAGUGCUGCAGCUAACGCAUUAAGCACUCCGCCUGGGGAGUACGACCGCAAGGUUGAAACUCAAAGGAAUUGACGGGGACCCGCACAAGCGGUGGAGCAUGUGGUUUAAUUCGAAGCAACGCGAAGAACCUUACCAAAUCUUGACAUCCUUUGACAACUCUAGAGAUAGAGCUUUCCCCUUCGGGGGACAAAGUGACAGGUGGUGCAUGGUUGUCGUCAGCUCGUGUCGUGAGAUGUUGGGUUAAGUCCCGCAACGAGCGCAACCCUUAAGCUUAGUUGCCAUCAUUAAGUUGGGCACUCUAAGUUGACUGCCGGUGACAAACCGGAGGAAGGUGGGGAUGACGUCAAAUCAUCAUGCCCCUUAUGAUUUGGGCUACACACGUGCUACAAUGGACAAUACAAAGGGCAGCGAAACCGCGAGGUCAAGCAAAUCCCAUAAAGUUGUUCUCAGUUCGGAUUGUAGUCUGCAACUCGACUACAUGAAGCUGGAAUCGCUAGUAAUCGUAGAUCAGCAUGCUACGGUGAAUACGUUCCCGGGUCU
rnacentral:rRNA from 1 species